GCGGGGGUGUGAGAGCCGGGCUGUGUGCUCGCGGCACGUGUGCCCCGCGUGUGCGCGCCUGGCCGUGAUCGCCUGGGUGACCGCGGCUGUCGCGGAGGGUCAAGCCGGGCGCCCAGCACACGCGACUGCCCUGGCACUGUGGGCCACUUUGUGAGAAAAGGGCCACUAAGGAAUGGAUUCCCAAACUCUGGGACACAACUGUCUACUCAACCAACUGUUGUUCAUCAGAGGCCUACCCUCACCCGGAGUUCCCAACAAUAACUUCCCGGACCUAAUCUUCAUUUCUAAUUAGGAGUAGAAUCUCUGUACAGGCCAGUACUUUCUUCAGGUCUUAACGACGAAAGCUUGGUUACUCCCUUAAAUUGCCUCCAACCUAGUCCUACCUCAAAGAGCUUCGCUUUGGCCUCACAAAAAAAGUCCUACUCUUCCACUCCUACGCUCUCUCCUCAAAUAAGCACCCCCUGAGUAGGCCACCUUGGAGUCAGACCACCAAAUCGCGCUAGCUCCUUCCUCGAAGCUGCGG